AAAAAGACAAACCCUGGUUUCCGUGUCCAACGUUUGACCGUCCAUCUUAUUUGAAAAAAUUAUGAAAAAAAUAAAAAAGACAAGUCACGCAUAAAAUAUUAAUUAUGUUUUAUCAUCUAACAAUAAUGAAAAUAUGAAUUAUAAAAAAAUUUCAUAUAAGACGGACCGUUAAAGUUGGACACGAAAACCCAGGGUUUGCCCCUUUU
rnacentral:pre_miRNA from 1 species